GAUGAACGCUGGCGGCGUGCCUAAUACAUGCAAGUCGAGCGAACAGACGAGGAGCUUGCUCCUCUGACGUUAGCUGCUGACGGGUGAGUAACACGUGGAUAACCUACCUAUAAGACUCGGAUAACUUCGGGAAACCGGGGCUAAUACCGGAGAAUAUAUUGAACCGCAUGGUUCCAUAGUUAAAUACGGUUUUGCUGACACUUAUAGAUGGAUCCGCGCCGCAUUAGCUAGUUGGUAAGGUAACGGCUUACCCAGGCAACGAUGCGUAGCCGACCUGAAAGGGGGAGAGGACAAACUGGAACUGAGACACGGUCCAGCAUCCUACGGGAGGCAGCAGUAGCGAAUCCUCCGGAAAGGGAGAAAGCUUGACGGAGGAACGCUGCGUGAGAGAUGAAGGUCUUCGGAUCGUAAAACUCUGUUAUUAGGGAAGAACGAAUGUGUAAGUAACUAGGCACGUCUUGAAGGGACCUAAUCAGAGAGCCACGGCUAACUUCGUG
rnacentral:rRNA from 1 species